rnacentral:lncRNA from 1 species
CCUCGUGCACCAUGUCGCUCGCUCCAAUCUUCUUUCGCAUGUAUUUUCUCUGAUUGGACUCCGUUUGGGUUGUUCUUGGACUCGUUGAACUUCGUUCGUCAUCCUGAACCUCACUGUGGGCUCAAUGUGGACCAAAUCUAGAGGUAUAUUUUCUAACAAUCUCUAUCUCAACUCGAUAUUCGACCUUCACUUAUCUCUAAGAUACUAUGAUCCGUCUUACCCCCACACCUUGGGGCAUGCCUGCUGUCUCAUGGAUGGACAAAUGUGGGAGUCGAGUCAGAUUGCUCGAUCCCACUUCCAUCAUGGGCUGUGUCUACUUUGACUAAAGAUCUGCUCGAGGAAGU